AACAUUUCCAAGUGCCAGGCUCCUUUCACUAUAGUUGAAAAGCUGGUCAUGCCCUCAGUCGUGGAUGCUUGCCGAGAGGUUUCAGGCCCAACCGCUGCUACAAAGCUGUUGUCACCUGAGCAUUGAUGGCGAUUCACAACCCUGGAGAGCAUUGAAGAAGUGGUUGAAUUCAUAAAUGGAUAGCUUGGACCUGCUGGAUGGAGGAAACAGUCAGCCAUAGAUGUUGACAGCCCUCCUAACCCUUCACCAGUGUCCAUGUAACAUUCUACCUGCUACACAAGAAACCACCCACAUCAACUGUAUUUCUCAAUAUUUCAAUUCACAAGAUAGAAUGAACUUGCGUGUGAGCCAUUGAGACUGGAC
rnacentral:lncRNA from 1 species